UAGGGAAUCUUCGGCAAUGGACGGAAGUCUGACCGAGCAACGCCGCGUGAGUGAAGAAGGUUUUCGGAUCGUAAAGCUCUGUUGUUAGAGAAGAACGUUGGUAGGAGUGGAAAAUCUACCAAGUGACGGUAACUAACCAGAAAGGGACGGCUAACUACGUGCCAGCAGCCGCGGUAAUACGUAGGUCCCGAGCGUUGUCCGGAUUUAUUGGGCGUAAAGCGAGCGCAGGCGGUUCUUUAAGUCUGAAGUUAAAGGCAGUGGCUUAACCAUUGUACGCUUUGGAAACUGGAGGACUUGAGUGCAGAAGGGGAGAGUGGAAUUCCAUGUGUAGCGGUGAAAUGCGUAGAUAUGUGGAGGAACACCGGUGGCGAAAGCGGCUCUCUGGUCUGUAACUGACGCUGAGGCUCGAAAGCGUGGGGAGCAAACAGGAUUAGAUACCCUGGUAGUCCACGCCGUAAACGAUGAGUGCUAGGUGUUAGGCCCUUUCCGGGGCUUAGUGCCGCAGCUAACGCAUUAAGCACUCCGCCUGGGGAGUACGACCGCAAGGUUG
rnacentral:rRNA from 1 species